rnacentral:misc_RNA from 1 species
GAUGAAGAACGUAGCGAAAUGCGAUACUUGGUGUGAAUUGCAGAAUCCCGUGAACCAUCGAGUCUUUGAACGCAAGUUGCGCCCGAAGCCAUUAGGCCGAGGGCACGCCUGCCUGGGUGUCACACGUCGUUGCCCCCCCAUCUACUCCUUCGGGAUUGCGGGGGGCGGAUGAUGGCCUCGCGUGCGCCUCGUCGCGCGGUUGGCAUAAAUGCCAAGUCCUCGGCGACGCACGCCACGACAAUCGGUGGUUGCGAAACCUCGGUUGCCCGUCGUGUGCGGUCGUCGCGCAUCGAGGGCUCGAAAAAAUUGCCGGGCUCCGGCUCGGCUUUCAACGCGACCCCAGGUCAGGCGGGGUUACCCGCUGAAUUUAAGCAUAUCAAUAAGCGGAGGA